AGUCAAUAGAUACCCGGGUAGUCCACGCCGUAAACGAUGAAUACUAGGUGUAGGGGUUGUCAUGACCUCUGUGCCGCCGCUAACGCAUUAAGUAUUCCGCCUGGGGAGUACGGUCGCAAGAUUAAAACUCAAAGGAAUUGACGGGGGCCCGCACAAGCAGCGGAGCAUGUGGUUUAAUUCGAAGCAACGCGAAGAACCUUACCUAGACUUGACAUCUCCUGAAUUACUCUGUAAUGGAGGAAGCCACUUCGGUGGCAGGAAGACAGGUGGUGCAUGGUUGUCGUCAGCUCGUGUCGUGAGAUGUUGGGUUAAGUCCCGCAACGAGCGCAACCCUUAUUGUUAGUUGCUACCAUUUAGUUGAGCACUCUAGCGAGACUGCCCGGGUUAACCGGAGGAAGGUGGGGAUGACGUCAAAUCAUCAUGCCCCUUAUGUCUAGGGCUACACACGUGCUACAAUGGUCGGUACAAUGAGAUGCAACCUCGCGAGAGUGAGCAAAACUAUAAAACCGAUCUUAGUUCGGAUUGUAGGCU
rnacentral:rRNA from 1 species